rnacentral:rRNA from 1 species
UACGGGGGGGGGCAAGCGUUGUUCGGAAUUACUGGGCGUAAAGGGCGCGUAGGCGGCCUGCUAAGUCGGACGUGAAAUCCCUCGGCUCAACCGGGGAACUGCGUCCGAUACUGGUGGGCUCGAAUCCGGGAGAGGGAUGUGGAAUUCCAGGUGUAGCGGUGAAAUGCGUAGAUAUCUGGAGGAACACCGGUGGCGAAGGCGGCAUCCUGGACCGGUAUUGACGCUGAGGAGCGAAAGCUAGGGGAGCAAACGGG